CGGGAAACCGGAGCUAAUACCGGAUAAUAUUUCGAACCGCAUGGUUCGAUAGUUAAAGGUGGUUUUGCUAUCACUUAUAGAUGGACCCGCGCCGUAUUAGCUAGUUGGUAAGGUAACGGCUUACCAAGGCGACGAUACGUAGCCGACCUGAGAGGGUGGUCGGCCACACUGGAACUGAGACACGGUCCAGACUCCUACGGGAGGCAGCAGUU
rnacentral:rRNA from 1 species